rnacentral:rRNA from 1 species
GGGGCCAAGGCACCUUACGUGGGAGCACCGUGCAUUUAA